rnacentral:misc_RNA from 1 species
UUGUGGAGGAGGACGCCGAAGGUGGGGCUAAUGACUGGGGUGAAGUCGUAACAAGGUAGCCGUACCGGAAGGUGCGGCUGGAUCACCUCCUAACAGGGAGACAACAAAAUGUUUAAUAUUAUUAUUUUGUCACCUUAGGUCGAUCGGUAUCUCACAUUCUUAUUUAAUUUAGAAUUUCAUUUCCUAAGUUUUUUCUAGGUCACACCCAUUAUUUUUCCUGGGCCAUUAGCUCAGGUGGUUAGAGCGCACCCCUGAUAAGGGUGAGGUCCCUGGUUCAAGUCCAGGAUGGCCCAUAUCUCUAUGUUGGGGGUAUAGCUCAGUUGGUAGAGCGCCUGCUUUGCAAGCAGGAUGUCAGCGGUCCGAGUCCGCUUACCUCCACUGAUUACCACCUCUCACAUAAUCUUUGAGAAGGAAAUGUUUUGAGUAGUGAUCAAAUUCUGAACGAAUCUAGCUUCCUAAUGAAAGCAUUAAGAUGCUGGACUCAUUGAAUUAAUUUCAUUGUUUUCAGAGAACCUUGACAACUGCAUAGAUUAUUUUUAAAGACAAUAAGCAUCUUUAAUGAUGCAGAUUUAUUAUUUGUGCUAAUGCAUUAAUAACAAUUCUAUUAAGCUGAUGCUUCAAUUUUGAAGUUAUUGGUCAAGCUACAA